UUUCAAAACUGCAUGGGCACUUCAUUUGGUGAACAAAUGUGGUUUUAAAAUAACUAUUAGAGCAAUCACGUGAUAUAACAAUCAGAUGAAUGUGAUGAAAACCAUGAGUUAACAGUAGAACAUAAGACGAGUAUCGUCUUUACUUGAUUAAAUUGACAAAAUAUUUGGCUUUUGUAUUCAAUGUCAUAGAUUUAUAUAAUGUGAAAUAAAUAGUCAUGAAGUAUACCUAACCACGGACCACUCCCUUUAUACCUGC